rnacentral:lncRNA from 1 species
GCCUUGGGCUGAUUCUGAUGCAGAUGGUCCAUAGACCACACUUUGAUAAGCACUGUCUGUAAAGUCCCUGACAACUCGAGGGUACUCCAAUUUCUUCAGCUGUAAAGUCAUUUUCUUUGAGUUAGCAGAAGGAGCAUUCAUGAUGGAGCCUGGAUUUUGGCUUCCGCCAUUCUCCUGUCUCAGCCUCCCUAGUAGCUGGGACUACAGGCGAGCCGGAGUGGCAGGGUAAGUAGUAUGGCGGGAAGAGUGUUUAAAGAACAGGUGACUCAGGAUGGCUCAGGUCAAAGCAGGUGACUGCGGGAACAGAUGUGAACUACUAAUUAGAACUGGUGAGAAAGUUGUUUACUGAAACUAGAGGCAAGGGGGCGAAGAGAACCAGAAAGUUA